rnacentral:rRNA from 1 species
UACGAAGGGGGCUAGCGUUGCUCGGAAUCACUGGGCGUAAAGCGCACGUAGGCGGAUUGCUAAGUCAGGGGUGAAAUCCUGGAGCUCAACGUCCAGAACUGCCUUUUGAUACUGGCGAUGCUUGAGUCCGGGAGAGGUGAGUGAACUGCGAGUGUAGAGGUGAAAUUCGUAGAUAUUCGCAAGAACACCAGUGGCGAAGGCGGCUCACUGGCCCGGUACUGACGCUGAGACGCGAAAGCGUGGGGAGCGAACAGG